UACGAAGGGGGCUAGCGUUGUUCGGAAUUACUGGGCGUAAAGCGCGCGUAGGCGGGCGUCUAAGUCAGGGGUGAAAUCCCAGGGCUCAACCCUGGAACUGCCUUUGAUACUGGAUGCCUGGAGUUCGGGAGAGGUGAGUGGAAUUCCGAGUGUAGAGGUGAAAUUCGUAGAUAUUGGGAAGAACACCGGUGGCGAAGGCGGCCCCCUGGACCGGUACUGACGCUGAGGCGCGAAAGCGUGGGUAGCAAACGGG
rnacentral:rRNA from 1 species